UACGUAGGGGGCGAGCGUUGUCCGGAGUUACUGGGCGUAAAGCGCUUGUAGGCGGUCCACCAAGUUUGGGGUGACAGUUGCCGACUUAAUCGGCAAAGUGCCUCAAAGACUGGCGGACUUGAGGGCCACAGAGGGACAUGGAACUCCAGGUGUAGUGGUGAAAUGCGUAGAUAUCUGGAAGAACACCAAAGGCGAAGGCGGCCACCUGGACCAACACUGACACUGAGGCACGAAAGCGUGGGGAGCAAACAGG
rnacentral:rRNA from 1 species